AACGUGGUCCUUGCAGUAGCAGUUUGCACAAAGAUAGCAAUGGUGGCUGGCCCACUUGCCACAUAUUUAUGGUUGAAAAGCUGAAACUUAAAGCAAAUUUCUGGACCACCCCACCAGUUGCAGAGCCUAUGGCUCAAUUUAGCCUGACUCAUGAAAAUUCAAUCAAUGACAUGACCAAUAUCAGGGCUUGGAUAAGUUCCCUGUGAACGAGGAAAUCCUGAUGAGCGCAAGUCAUAAGCCUGCGCUGAUUACGUUUCUGCAAUUUGUACACACUGACUGUCGCUACUACCGAUUGAAUGGUUUAGAAAUUUCUUUGGAUUGGUGACACUUAUGCGUCGCCAUUAAGAGGAAAUGAAAGUUGUAACAAGGUUUUUCUUAGCUGAAUCUGCGGAAAAAUUAAUA
rnacentral:ncRNA from 1 species